CUUUGCUCCCCCUCCCAGAGUCCCCUCCCCGGAGCGGAGCGCACCUGGGGUCCCUCUCCCGUCCCCCAAGCCCAGCCACCCAUUCAGACCAGCAGCCUCGGGGGGCACCCCCCCGCCAGCCUGCCUCCCUCCCGCUCAGCCCUGCCAGGGCCCCCCAGCCAUGAAUCUCUUCCGAUUCCUGGGAGACCUCUCCCACCUCCUCGCCAUCAUCUUGCUACUGCUCAAAAUCUGGAAGUCCCGCUCGUGCGCCGGAAUUUCAGGGAAGAGCCAGGUCCUGUUUGCUGUGGUGUUCACUGCCCGAUAUCUGGACCUCUUCACCAACUACAUCUCACUCUACAACACGUGUAUGAAGGUGGUCUACAUAGCCUGCUCCUUCACCACGGUCUGGUUGAUUUAUAGCAAGUUCAAAGCCACUUACGAUGGGAACCAUGACACGUUCAGAGUGGAGUUCCUGGUCGUUCCCACCGCCAUUCUGGCGUUCCUGGUCAAUCAUGACUUCACCCCUCUGGAGGUAGGCGCCUUGCUGUGACUCCUUAUUUGGGGGGAUGGUUGUGGCAGAGUAGCUAUGACAGGAGACCCUCU
rnacentral:sRNA from 1 species